rnacentral:rRNA from 1 species
GACGAACGCUGGCGGCGUGCUUAACACAUGCAAGUCGAACGAAGCUUGAUUACGGAUUCUUCGGAUGAAGUAUGAUAUGACUGAGUGGCGGACGGGUGAGUAACGCGUGAGUAACCUGCCCUUCAGAGGGGGAUAGCGUUUGGAAACGAACGGUAAUACCGCAUAAUGUAUUUUGACCGCAUGAUCGAAAUACCAAAGAUUUAUCGCUGAAGGAUGGACUCGCGUCUGAUUAGGUAGUUGGUGGGGUAACGGCUUACCAAGGCAACGAUGCAUAGCCGACCUGAGAGGGUGAUCGGCCACACUGGAACUGAGACACGGUCCAGACUCCUACGGGAGGCAGCAGUAGGGAAUCUUCCGCAAUGGGCGAAAGCCUGACGGAGCAACGCCGCGUGAGUGAUGAAGGUCUUCGGAUCGUAAAACUCUGUUAUUAGGGAAGAACAUAUGUGUAAGUAACUGUGCACAUCUUGACGGUACCUAAUCAGAAAGCCACGGCUAACUACGUG